UACGUAGGGUGCAAGCGUUGUCCGGAAUUAUUGGGCGUAAAGAGCUCGUAGGCGGUCUGUCGCGUCGGCUGUGAAAUCCCGAGGCUCAACCUCGGGUCUGCAGUCGAUACGGGCAAACUAGAGUAUUGCAGGGGAGACUGGAAUUCCUGGUGUAGCGGUGAAAUGCGCAGAUAUCAGGAGGAACACCGAUGGCGAAGGCAGGUCUCUGGGCCGAUACUGACGCUGGAGGAGCGAAAGCGUGGGGAGCGAACAGG
rnacentral:rRNA from 1 species